UUUUGUUUUAUUAAAUUUUUCGUCAUUGAUAAAAUUACAAUUCGGUCAAAUAUCCGUAAAAAAUUGAGGACAUUAUUGUUUAUCCCACUGAAUAAACUUCAAGCAAAUGCAUCAAUAGAAAUAGUUUUUCUCGUAGCUGAGCAAUUGAAUGAACCAUCACCAUGCGAUCUACCAACGAAUUCAACUGGGAAAUUACAGAGAGAAAACUAGAGGAAAAAAAACAAAGCAUCCAAAUGAAAUGCUCAUUAUAAUCAGUGAAAGUGAAAUAAUUUCUAAAAUCAUUUAUUUUAUAUUCUAUUUUUAAAUAGAUUGUAAAGGAAUGAAUCUACCAUGAUUAAAAGAGAACAGAGAAAAAGAAAAAUUUUAUUAUUACAAAAGAAAAUUUUGCUUGAAGAGGAAGAGCUUUUUGACGAUUUUAGAUCGUAAAGAUCAACAAGAAAAGGAAAAGAGAAAAUUAAAAUUACGAGCAAAAGAAAUUGGUGAACCUUCAUCAUGUUUACCUGAGAUUUGUGAUCAUCCUUUAUGGUUGGAGAUAAAUAAAACGACUUCUGACCAAUUGAAACAAGCUCGAUUAGAGGUCGGUGAAGAUGAUGGUGAGACAACCGGUGGUUGGGAAUUAUUUGCCGCCGAAGGUGAUAUGAGACUUUACAAGAGAGAUCUUGUUGUCGAUGGGCUUGUCUGUGAUCCAUUGAAAGCUGUCCACACAGUUCGAGGUAUAACUGGACAUGAAGUUUGUUAUCAUUUCUUUAGUCCUGAUGUCCGAUGGGAUUGGGAAAACACUUUAGAAUCAAUGAAAGUCGUUGAAGAAAUCAAUUCAAAUUCGUGUGUACAGUUUGCCAUAGCAAAUUAAUUCGGGUUGUUGUUGAUGUUGAUGAUGAUGAUGAUGGUAAUCAAGUUGAUGGAUUAUGAGAUGAUGAUUAUUAUUUCAGGUGAAAAUGAAUGAUCAGAAUGAGAAUGAAUCAGGAAUAAAAUCAAGAGUCGAUAAAGGUUAACGAUACUCUGAAAGGUUAGAUGAUCGCACGUUAAUUAUUAAUACAAUUAACUUACGAUCUUUGUCCAUUUCUUAAACUUAUUCACCAUUUCAUUCAUAGACUAAUCAAAACUUGAGAUAAACUCAUUUAAAAUGAUAACCUGUUUAUUAAUUUGAAUAUAAGCUCGAACUUUUCGAACUCAUUUUCACUCACUUACAAUGAACUUGACAAUGUCUCGAUUUUUAAUUUUUCUAUUAUUAAUUAAUUUUUCUUGUGCUAAUUUUCCCAUUGUUUUCAGAAGUGAAAAACCACCUAAUACUCAAGAGGCUGGAUCGAAUGGACUAACUGAUGAUAUCCAAUCAAAUCUUCAAAAAGUCAUUUCCUUGAGGCCAUUGUUCAAUCUCAGCCGGAUUAUUGGAGUGACUGGUGGAUUAGUUACUGUGACACUUGCAUUUAUUGAAUUCCUUGAGUCUGUCAUGGUUCAGAUUUGUUCAGUGUAUGAAUGCUCAGCGAUUUUUUAUGUGAAUUCAAAAUACUCAAAGCACUUCCCCGAGCCUCGUCAUUAUCCUAACGAUGAAUAAAUACCAGAAUAACGUGUUGAUGAUUUCCAAAAAUGAUUCACAACAAUCAGCUGAUUACCUUUUACCAUUUACCUGAAUAUUAUCAAAAUUGAUCGUUUAAUGAUGAUCAAAUUAUUCAUUUGUAUGAUUAUUAAUUAAUAAUAAACGAGAUUAUCAAUAUAACCAAAUGAUAAAUGUCACUAAA